rnacentral:RNase_P_RNA from 1 species
CGAGUCGGCCGGGCGAUCGCGGCGGGAGUGUCCCGUCGAGGAAAGUCCGGACUCCACAGGGCAGGGUGGUUGCCAACAGCAACCCGGGGUGACCCGCGGGAAAGUGCCACAGAAAACAGACCGCCCGGUGUCGACAGCCGGGUAAGGGUGAAACGGCGGUGUAAGAGACCACCAGCAUCCCGGGUGACCGGGAUGGCUCGGUAAACCCCACCCGGAGCAAGGUCAAGAGGACGUCGUGUUCGGCGUCUGCGCAGGUGUUCGAGGGUGGCCCGCCCGAGACCUGCGGGUAGACCGCUGGAGCCCGCCGGCGACGGCGGGCCAAGAUGGAUGAUCGCCGAAUGGGAGUGCCGCAAGGCCCCCAGGAACAGGAUCCGGCUUACAGGCCGACUCGUCCG